UGCAGGUUUGGUUUUACUCUGGCUGUGCUUUUAUUUUGAAACAUCAGGGGUUGUGUCCAUGGAAACAGUAGCUCAUGCAUCUGAACCACAGACUAACGCUGCUGUUGGUUGGACCUGGCUACCGCAUCACCUCCACCUAACCACCUAACAGCCAAUCAGCUACUGUUUGAUGAUGUCAUUCAGGCUGAUUGGACGUACAGGAGCUGACAGGUGUGUGUGUGUGUUCAUGUGUGGAGGUCAAAGGUCACAGACUAGUUGCAGUGAAUGUCAGUCACACACAGACUCACCUGUUAUGAGCUUCUCUCUUUGUGUCACACGAUACAGGAGGAAAAUAAUGACAGCACCGAGGAGAAGCACAGGAACCAGGACAGCUGGGAGGAGUUUGGGCCAGACAGGACGUUCUGUAAGGAACACAAAGAAGCAGAACAUCAUCCUGUAUGACCUCUGACCUCUGAUCAUGUUCUUCUAUUUGACCUUCUAGCUGAGCACUGCUGAACCACAGACCUGUUUAACCAGUCAGUGAUCAGUGUCUGUGCUGCUGAUCAAUAAUAAGUGAGUGUGAGGCUGCUGAUGGUUCUUCAUCACUUUAACAGAACAUGAAGCAGCACAGACGUCCUGUCUGUGACUCCAUCUUCUCUGGACCUGACCUUUGACCUCAUCAGGGUCAGCUCCACAGCUGGAGUGAGGGGUCUGAAGCUCUGUGACUAACGAGGUCACACAGACUGUUCAUAAGCAUCCACCUUGUGUUACAGGUGGAUGCUGAUGUCACAGAGAGCUAGAGCAAUGAUAUACUUAUUAAGGUUUCCAUGGAAACACAAACCUGCCUAAGUCUCUUCUGUGUAACUGAACGUGUUUACAUACGUGGAAUAUUUCAUGUUACUGAACAUUAUCUUUCUGAAUGUGUGUGAUAUGAUUCAGUGUGACCUUUGACCUGAACUUGCAGCACUGACCUUUGACCUUCAGCUGGGCUUGAGUUUUCUCCUUGUCCUCUCCAUGGAUGCGGGUGGCACAGGUGUAGGUCCCACUGUCAGUGAACGUGGGGUUCCUCAGAGUGAGGCUGAGGUCUCCAGUCUGCAGGGCUCUCAUUGAUGUUCGGUUGCGGUAAUGAGGGUUUUGGUUCCUAAGAUCAUCUUUUCCCUCCACAAUGGCGUGAACGAUCUGAGAAGUCAGAUCUUCACGUUUCCACACGAUUGCAUGAUCCUUAGGAACAACAAGCUUACAGGGCAGCAGGACAGACUCCUCGGCCUCAAACACCUCCACCCCUGAUGCAUGCUGGGACACUGAGGACACAAACACAAGUUUAAUCAGUGUGGUUUCCGUGGUAACCUGACAGUGUGAGCAGGUGAACAGUUACCUGCAGCUCAGUGUGGGGCUGAGAGGAGGAGAUGUCAGGAGAAAUAUGACACUAAAAAAAUGAGUAAAUGUGAGCUUAUCAGAGAGACGAGCAGCUGAGUGUGUGAACACGUCUGUGCUGAUCAGCAUCAUCAUACAUGCUGAAUGUGUCCUCAUGACCCACAAUCAUGAACACAAGAUGUUUGAUAAAGACUUCAUGUGUGUGAGGGAGAAACCGUGUGCACUGAUGGGAAUCUGGAACAUCUCCACGACAGGAAGCUGUUCGUGUCUCUGUGUAGACUCAGUUAGUAAACUGUGCACCCACAGGUCUGUUACACCUGCAGAUGUUCUGUCUGCUGGAACAUCUGGAGCAUAGCUGAUGUUCUGCAGGCUGUGAACAGAAGCUCUGACACCAGCAGCCUCCAACCUGCGAUCAGCUGCAGCUCCACCCUCCUCCUGUCACAGUAAACUGCACAGAGGGGAGGAGCUGCUGAGGUCAGCAGGUCAAACAGAUGUGCAGCACACACACACACACACACACCAGCAGCUCCAGAUGUUUGAUGAAGCGCAACUCCUUCAGCUUCCUGACACAGGCCAUGGCUCACACUGCAAGUUCCGCCCAAACAUGGCGCCCACAGGACAUACCGUAAAUCACCAAAAGCAGCUGUGUGUGUGUGUGUGUGUGUGUGUGUGUGUGUUACACAGAGAGCAGUGUGUGUAUGUAAGCUGCUCUGAGCCUCGCGCGUUGGUGACAUGUGUACAGAUAUGAUCAGAGAAAAGAAGCGCGGUCACGACAACUGUGCGUUAAAAACCUUUGCGCGUUUACAUCAGUAUUUACGGCUCGUGUAGACGCAAACGGGGAUUUCAUGGUGCGUUUAAGUACCGCUCGUAACCAUUGACAUGUCGAAGAGGUUAACACGUGAGGAGCGGAUCGAAAUUGUGUUGAUAUCUGGUGAACGCAGUAACCGGGUCAUUGCAGCAGAUUUCAAUGCAAGACACCCUACAAGACCACCCAUCUCCCAUGCUACAGUUAGCAAACUGCUUGCUAAGUUUCAUGAAACUGGUUCAGUGUUGGAUUUGCCAAAAUGUGGACGCAAGAAAACUGUCACUAAUGAAGAAACAUCAGUGGCUGUCCUAGCUUCAUUCAGCAAGAGCCCACAGCGUAGCACUCGCCGCAUGUCACUGGAGAGUGGCAUUAGUCGAACAUCCCUUCGGCAGAUAUUAGCUACUCACAAAUGGCACUCUUACAAACUCCAGCUACUGCAGCAUCUCAACGAGGAUGACCCAGAUCGGCGCACAGAAUUUGCAGAAUGGGCAAAAUAAAAAUUGGAACAGGACCCUCAGUUCAUGCAGAAGAUGUUGUUCAGUGAUGAGGCAAACUUUUAUGUGAAUGGUGAAGUUAACAAACAAAACCACG
ensembl:lncRNA